CCUGGGCAGUAGCCCAGGGGCCACCGGGCUGGGGGGCGUGCAGCACAGAUGGCUGUGGGGCCGCAGGUCUCUCCCCUGCCCCUCACCCAGCUGAGGCUGGGCUCCCGGCUGAACUCGUGGCUGCGGGCCGUGCUGAAGUCGUAGUCGGGCCGGAAGGACGCGUUGAGGGUCGCAAUUAGGUAGAAAAGGGUCUUGCGGCUGCACUUGUCACUGAGGGGGCUCUCGUCCUCGCCGCCUUGGCUCUUGCUUAGUCUGUACAGAAAGAUGGUCAGCCCAGCCCCGCGCCCCUCGGGACCUCCAUCAUCCCACUGGCAGACCCCAUGUCCACUCACCGGCUGGGGCUGAGGCCCGAGGUCUGGGGCGGGGACAGGGCCUCCAGCACGUGUGGCUGGCCCUCCUGGCAGAACUGCUUGAACAUGUGCUUGUCAUCUCCUGCCAUCUUACACGAGUAGCUCUCAAUCCUGCAGAGAUGCGGGCGGCCCGUGGUGCAACUUCCCUCCCGGGCCCCCACUUGAUUCAGGGGUCAGGGUGGAGUGUCCCUGAGACGGGGCUCCCCAGAGCCCCGGCCUCACCUCCCAAUGAUGUGGGCGUCUCCUGUCUCCACAGUCAACUGCGAGUUGAUGGCCUCAAAGCUGGAGUUCUCCAACAGCUUCAUGGUCCUCGGUGGUCCCAGGUUCUCCAGGGGCUGCUGCUGCCUGAGGGUGUGGGACACCAGGCUGUGGGUCCCGGGCCAGCUGGGACUCAGCCUUUACCCUCCUGCCCCAGUAAGUGCAGAUGCCGUGAACAAGCCAAGCUUGGCCCCUGCCCCAGCUUCACAGGGCUCACCGCCCUCCCCAAGCCUGCUAUGUGCCCUGGCCAGAGAAGCGAUGAGAUCCUGUUAUCUGAGGCUCAUGGCAAGUCUAGGCCCCAGCUCAGCCACGCUCCCUGCGCCUCCCACGAGUUCGGGGUCCAGGCCUUGUGGGGGGCACCAGGGACCUUGGGGCUGCUGGUUGGGUCUUGCCCUCAAUGCCUCCUCAUGGGAAAGAAAACCCACCCACCCACCAUGAGGGUCACACGGAGUCGACUUAGGAACAUGGCUCCGUUAGAACCCCUCAGGCCGGGCUGGGAUCCGCAGCCGGAGCGAGAGCGCCCCUCCGGGUUAGGAAUUAGGACACCUGGGGCGCCGGGCCCUGCGGUCACCUGGACCAGGGGCUGCUUUCCAGAGAGGAACAAACGAAACCCACAGGCUCCUCCGUUCUUCUCCGCGAGGACACCAGUUUCCUUCGGACGCCCCGCGGCUCCCCAAAGCCCUGUACGGGGUCUCCGGGGCGCCAGCGUCCAGCGGGCAGCGCCGGCCUCGGGGGCUAGGGGAAACCCCGCCCAGCCGCGGUGAAACUACAAGUCCCAGGAGGCAGAGCGCCCAAGCGAGCGCACGCGCACUGGCGCGAGGCCUGCUGGGGACUGUGGUCCCGGCCGCCCGCAGACAGCGGCCCCGCGCAGGGCGGACGCCUACCUGCUUGGGCCGGGUAGGGUGGCGGUGGCGCCGGUGAGAAGGCGGUACGGGCUGUGGCUGCGGGCAGCGCGGGCUUCUCAGGACCGGAGGGCGGCGCCGCGGCCUCCGCUCGGGCCGCACUGUAUCCGGGGAAAGAAGCUCCGCGGCGACGUCCCGUUACUCCCGGCCCGGCCGGCCGCACCGGACUGCCACCGCGACAUAGCCUCGUCCCCCUGCACAGCGCCCAACUCUCGCGACCGACCUGCCAGCCGACCGCCGCAGAUCGCCCCGGCGACCGAGCGAGCGAGCGACCUCCGCCUCCCUCGGCCGGACAACAACAAGCGUCCGUAAGACCCGGCCCCACUUCUCUGAAUGGCCCGCUCUAGCCUCCGGGGUCCAGAGUUCGAAUUGCCAUUGGGCGCGUUGCCCGCCUCUCAUUCUUGUUUCCCACUCCUACUGGCUGGCGCGUCUGUCCGUCAUCCUCCUGGCCCCAAGAACCCACCUCCCCGCUGGCGCUCAUUGGCCGCGGCCGCGCCGGCUCCGCCCCCGGUGAUCGUCAUUUCCGGAGGGGCGGCUUGGAGACUCUACGCGCCCCGGGGGCGGGGCGUGGCCGAGACGGGGCCGAGUGUCGUGUGGGAGCUGUCGCGGCUGAGCAAGGGGCUCACGGGGUCGCGGGCCGGGGCGGGGCCUCGUCCGAGGGGCGGAGCCGGCAGCCGGGGACGGGGUCCAGCUCCCUCCGAGCCAGCGGCGGGGGCAGAUGCUGACUCUUGGGCGGCCCCGCUUUCCGGGCCUGGUUCCGUCGGUGACACAGCCCGGCGCAGUGGCCUCCAGGCCCGGUUCAGAGUGACCGCCUUGAAACGGUGCUGGCCCGCCCCGCCGCCCUGCCCGGGCCUCAGGCAGGCCCCAGCCCCGCCCCGCCGGAUCCACCCUGGGCGAAGCGGGCGGGUGAGGCCCGGCCCACGCUGCUCGGCCCCUUCCCAGUCCCCGACGUCCCGGCCGCGCCCGGAACCCCAGGCUCGCGGCCCCGGUUUCCGGCCGGCGGAGGCGCCCAGGGGCCCGGCCCACGGAAGCGGGCUCGGCAGGCCGGGAUCCGGCGGACCGGAGAUGGUGCCACCGGCGGGCGGGGCGACGGCGGCGGCUCCGGCUCCGGACCCGGGCUCGGCCGCGGUGCUCCUGGCCGUGCGAGCCGCCGUGAGGCCGCUGGGCCCUGGGCCGGACACCGAGGCGCAGAUGCGGACGCUGCAGCUGAGAGUGGACCCCGAGCGGCCCGGGCGCUUCCGGCUGGAGCUGCUGGGCGCGGGGCCCCGGGCGCCCAACUUGCAGUGGCCCCUAGAGUCCGUCUCCUACACCGUCCGAAGCCCCAGCCAGCAUGAGCUUCAGCCUCCACCUGGAGGACCCGGGGCCCUCAGCCUGCAUUUCCCCAACCCUCAGGAAGCUCAGCGGUGGGCGGCCCUGGUCCGAGGUGCCGCCACGGAGGGACAGAAUGGCAGGAGCAGCCCACCUCCAGUCCUCCUCUCCCCACCCAGCCCUCCCAAAGCCCCCACACCCAAGGGCCCCGAGGCGGAUUCUCUCUGGAGCCCCGGAGACUUGACGGAGAAAGAAGAGUUGGUGGGACACCUGGCCCAGGCCGUUGCCAGUGGGGAUGAGAAGGGUGCAGCCCGAGCGGCCGCCAUGCUCGCCCAGAGGCAGGUGGCCCUCAGCGUCCAGCUCCCGGAGACCUACUUCCCUCCUGGCCCUGUCAGGUCACAGUGGAAGAUGCUGCAUCCUCAGCCCACAUCUCGCUUCAGGCCCACCCCCACUGCACCAUCGGGACCCUCCAGGACCAGGUGUUCUUGGAGUACGGCUUCCCCCCUGCCGUGCAGCGCUGGGUCAUUGGGCAGUGCCUGUGUGUGCCUGAGCGCAGCCUCGCCUCCUAUGGGGUCCAGCGGGACGGGGACCCCGCUUUCCUCUACCUGCUCUCAGCUCCUCGCAAAGCCGCAGGUCGCAGCCCUCAGCUCCCCCAGUCACUGGGACUACCCCGAGCCCCCCAGCCAGCCGGCACCUGCCUCCCUCACUCCCUGCAGCGCGGCUGGCCGUGCCCCUCUUGCACCUUCAUCAACGCCCUGAGCCGCCCUGGCUGUGAGAUGUGCAGCACCCAGAGGCCCUGUGCUUGGGACCCCCUUCCCUCCGCCUCCACGCAGCAGCCACCAAAGGUCACAAGGAGAGAGGAUGGCCCUGCCCUCCCUGGCCCGCGGCCCCUGGACCCCCUUCUGGACCUCUCGGGGGACGUCUGCUGACUACUCCCUGGGGACAGUGGUGCCGGGGGAGGGAUGCGCAAGCUGGGGGCAUUAAAGACACUUCUGAGCCAGCCACGU